CUCUGAAAUUUUUCAACAGAAACUCUCUUGAACGGCUGCUGGACAGCAAGAGGAGUGUGAUCUGUUUAGCAUGGAACCAGUAACUUUAAAUUGCAUUUCAUCACCAGACCAAGGCCCAAACACACAUGGGCGGGGGGAAACAGAACAAGUAUGUGCCUGCAACACUUUAUCCUGUAGUAGAAGGUAACUUUCUGCAAUUGGCUUUUAAAUGCAUGUGGAUUUAUUGAACAGUAUUUUGUUGCAAACUGUGUUUUAAACUGUGUGUGUGUGUGCACGUGUGUAAAACAUAGGUGGGUUUUUUUUAAGUAUAUGGCUGCAAACUGAUGGUAAUGGUGUGUUUCAAACUAAGAGGGUGUUUUUUUUUCCUGUGCAAAAUGGUUUUAAACUGGAUUUUAAAAGUUGAUUUUAAAAGCAGUUUGGUUUUUAUUUUGCAAA